GACGAACGCUGGCGGCGUGCUUAACACAUGCAAGUCGAACGGAAAGGCCCUGCUUUUGUGGUGUGCUCGAGUGGCGAACGGGUGAGUAACACGUGAGUAACCUGCCCUUGACUUUGGGAUAACUUCAGGAAACUGGGUCUAAUACCGGAUAGGAGCUCCUGCUGCAUGGUGGGGGUUGGAAAGUUUCGGCGGUUGGGGAUGGACUCGCGGCUUAUCAGCUUGUUGGUGGGGUAGUGGCUUACCAAGGCUUUGACGGGUAGCCGGCCUGAGAGGGUGACCGGCCACAUUGGGACUGAGAUACGGCGCAGACUCCUACGGGAGGCAGCAGUGGGGAAUAUUGCACAAUGGGCGGAAGCCUGAUGCAGCAACGCCGCGUGCGGGAUGAAGGCCUUCGGGUUGUAAACCGCUUUCGCCUGUGACGAAGCGUGAGUGACGGUAAUGGGUAAAGAAGCACCGGCUAACUACGUG
rnacentral:rRNA from 1 species